GGUUUUCUUCAUGGAUUAAAAUGUGUGUUAAUUCAGGACCCGACUUGCUUCUUGAUGUUCUGGUUUCGGUGAGCCCGAAACAUCAACAGGAUUGUUCCAUGGCACUGUACAAAAUGGGGACCAAAGCUGCAGCACCUUGCCUAUGGAUGCAGCAAAUCCAUCUUUAACACCACAGGUUAGCAUAAAAAAGGAUGCAGGUUCAUAGGCAUGUCGAGCCGGCUGUAGCGAGGCUGCCGAAGUUCGGAUAUGUUGUUCGACCAGUUCGGAAGAGUCAUUUGAUGGGGUGCGAAGCAGUACAUCCGACAAGUUCUCUUGCUGAAAUGUUGCUGAUUCGAACUGGUUGUUUGUGAUGCUACAUGUGAUGUAUAAAAAAUGGACAGAGAUGGUAAGAUUACAUCUGUAAGUACUGAUUUGUCUGCUUGAGGUUUGGAACAAGUGCAGAGAAUCCAAGUACGCUCCAGGUCAUCUACUGCCUUAAACUGUAUCUAAAAGGGCUUCCUUGAUGCUGUCGACGCAAGAUAGCCUCCCAAUGCCACACCUACCUUGUCAGCUCGCCUCAAUAAAUGAAGCUUGGCGGUGUGCACGGCAGCGCUGAUGUGAACCGGGA